AGCCUCAUGCAUUACUUUUGGAAACUAGUGAAUGUGGUGUCAAAAAAGGCGCACAUAAAUGCUCUGCAGCCUUUUCCUGCCCUUAAAUUGUGAUGUCUUCGUGUUGGAGCUGCAUAAGCAACAGUA
ensembl:snoRNA